rnacentral:lncRNA from 1 species
AUUAAAGGAGAUAUUUUUACUACGAGUUUACUUUUAUUUACUUUUUAAUUCUGCAUGGCAGGUCUUUAAGCGGUCUCUUUUUAGAUAUGACUUGACUUAAUGCCUUUUCUAAUUGAAAAGAAAAUUUGAAUUCCUAGGGAGGAGAUUAUGGGUAAUCUGCUACUUUAAAAAGGCAUGAGCGAGCACUUUUUUGGUUUAAUUUAAUAGGGGUUGUAUGGUGAGCUCUUGAGAGAAAGAAAAAAUGCUGAUGGUAUUGAGGUUAGAAAAAUUGAUGUUUUUAUCAUAUCAGAAAGUACAGAUAGAGUCCUUUGUCAGGGUCUUCUUUGAGCUGGGCACUCUAGAUGUAAGAAAUCCAGACAAGAACAGAUUUUGGCCAAAGUAGGGGGAGUAGCAUAACCUCUAGCAAAGGUAGAACAAAUGCUGCUCAGGUGAGCGAGGGGGUAAUUUCCUUUAAAAAUAAACAACAAAAAACUUUUCAAGCUAUUCAGUAUGUUUUCUGAAUCUUUUUUAACAGGUCCAAAGCAUUAGAUCUGCAAAUGUUUUCUCUGUAGCUACAUAAUUCUCUUAUAGAAAAGCCCUCGUUCUGCAACUGGUGAAGCAAGACAGGGGAAGGGAGGGAGCAGAUUUCCACCUGAAUUUCUUCACGUGCUUGAAGACGAGGAGUUUCUGCUAACUGCUGCCAGGCCAGGAGCUGGGACUGCCCAAGCCACCGACACCCAGUGGUCCCAGACACGCAAACCAGCACCAGAACCCGAGCAAGUCUCCAGCUUCCUAGAGAAACAGCUUGCUCUUGUUACGUGGACACAGGGUGCCAAUACCACGGAGUCCCAAUCUAAACCAGGUCCCCUAGGCAUGGCAGGAAUAAGAAUCAUCAUCUCCAGAUUUCAUGGGUCUGGUUGAUCUGCAAGAAGCAAGACUGGGACUAACAAAUCUGUUGGUACUUUAACAUAUUUGUGCUUUUGUUCUUUCUGAGCUCCUUUCCACCAGCCUUACCUCAGUGUGACAGUCCUAGGGGUUGAGUAAGAGACCUUGGCUUUACCUGCCAUGGUGAGAUUUGAGCUGUCUUGUUAAAAGUUCAGCAUGCAGGGCUGGCUUUACUCUGACAAAGCCAUGCUGCCUCAAGGCAAUUCAAAAGGUACUGCAGAAGCCUGGAGAAAGCACCAUUUCUGCACUGUUUUUUUACAAAAAAAAAAAAAAAAAGUGGUGAGAGAUCUGUGAGCAUGGCUUUAAUGAGCUGCAAACAUGGCACAAUGAUUCAAUAUGAGCCAGAAAUUAGUCAGGCUGAGUAGCAAAAUGACACUUUCU